GGAUGAGUUGCGAACGGGUGAGUAACGCGUAGGUAACCUGCCUGGUAGCGGGGGAUAACUAUUGGAAACGAUAGCUAAUACCGCAUAACAGUCGACAUUGCAUGAUGUUGAUUUGAAAGGGGCAAUUGCUCCACUACCAGAUGGACCUGCGUUGUAUUAGCUAGUUGGUGAGGUAACGGCUCACCAAGGCGACGAUACAUAGCCGACCUGAGAGGGUGAUCGGCCACACUGGGACUGAGACACGGCCCAGACUCCUACGGGAGGCAGCAGUAGGGAAUCUUCGGCAAUGGACGGAAGUCUGACCGAGCAACGCCGCGUGAGUGAAGAAGGUUUUCGGAUCGUAAAGCUCUGUUGUAAGAGAAGAACGAGUGUGAGAGUGGAAAGUUCACACUGUGACGGUAACUUACCAGAAAGGGACGGCUAACUACGUGCCAGCAGCCGCGGUAAUACGUAGGUCCCGAGCGUUAUCCGGAUUUAUUGGGCGUAAAGCGAGCGCAGGCGGUUAGAUAAGUCUGAAGUUAAAGGCUGUGGCUUAACCAUAGUACGCUUUGGAAACUGUUUAACUUGAGUGCAGAAGGGGAGAGUGGAAUUCCAUGUGUAGCGGUGAAAUGCGU
rnacentral:rRNA from 1 species